rnacentral:rRNA from 1 species
GAUGAACGCUGGCGGCGUCCCUAAUACAUGCAAGUCGAGCGAACAGAUGAGGAGCUUGCUCCUCUGACGUUAGCGGCGGACGGGUGAGUAACACGUGGAUAACCUACCUAUAAGACUGGGAUAACUUCGGGAAACCGGAGCUAAUACCGGAUAAUAUAUUGAACCGCAUGGUUCAAUAGUGAAAGACGGUUUUGCUGUCACUUAUAGAUGGAUCCGCGCCGCAUUAGCUAGUUGGUAAGGUAACGGCUUACCAAGGCAACGAUGCGUAGCCGACCUGAGAGGGAGAGCGGCCACACUGGAACUGAGAAACGGUCCAGACUCCUACGGGAGGCAGCAGUAGGGAAUCUUCCGCAAUGGGCGAAAGCCUGACGGAGCAACGCCGCGUGAGUGAGGAAGGUCUUCGGAUCGUAAAACUCUGUUAUUAGGGAAGAACAAAUGUGUAAGUAACUAUGCACGUCUUGACGAUACCUAAUCAGAAAGCCACGGCUAACUACGUG